AAGUACUCAGCCCUGCAUAUUGUUUUCCUUAAUGUGCAUGUUGAUCGUUGUCAAAGUCGAGGAGGUGUUGGGACAGAAGAAUAAAUAAGUAGGAAGAUAGCUGGUGUAGUAUGUCGCAGAAAUCACUCUGACUCAGUACAAUAUUAUCUUUAUCAUAUUGAGACAAUGUUUCCUUGAACUAAGUAAUAUUCAUGAUAAGUUGAGACAAUUCUCCAUCGGGUCGCUGGCAUUUCAUCCGUGCGACUAAUUCCACCAUUGACGUUUUCUGCGGAAAGAACCCCUUUUCUUUUCCUCGGUCGUUCCGCCGUUUUUUCGCCCUUACUGGGGCUCGGCUGAUUCGAGCCAUUGUCGGAACAGAGGAGGCGUCGCCUCCGUGACCCCCCCUUCUCUCUCUCGGCUGUCCUACAGCGGUGAGCACCGACGUCAGCUGCCAGCCAGCUCCGCCGCCGUGCCGCGCUGUGGACAUCUCGUCGACAGCCGCCAGCCAGCUCCGAUUCUUCGUCGAGCAGCGUUUCUGCCCGCGGCUACCUCCGCCGGCGUGCUCGCUGUCGCCAUCGUGGCUGGGGAGUCCCAGACUUCGAAUUGGUGCUCAUCUUCGCCCGUCGCCGCGGCUCCGCCUCUACGGUUCCAGAUCUAAGUUCUAACUCUCCUUUUUCUUAUUUUAUGGAGUUAAGUGACGUUGGUGUUCAAGCUGGGUAGUAUUACGAUUGUAUGUUUAGUGUUGGCUGAUCGUGCUAAGUUUCUAUUCGGGGAAAUCUCUUGUAUUGUUGAUUGAUUCGAUUGUUCGAUGGGGUAGAUUUCACCCUUUUUCGAUAUGUGUUUAGCACUGCACUAGUUAUGCUGGUGCCCUUCGAUUGUGUUGGCAUUGUUGAAAACUCAUGGCUGCCACUACCUAUGUGAAGCUUGUUCUAUUGUUAUUGAUGUGAGGUUCAUAAUGUGUGCCUCGGUUCUCUGCUAUCUAUUGCCUCAUGCUACAUGAUGCUACUAUGGUUUUUGGUGAUUUACCUCUUGUGAUUUCGUGAACGAGGAGGCUGCUUCAGUUGCUGGUCACUGGGAGCUCCACUUUCUACUCCGUUUGCGACUGGGCAGUAGUGAAGGUGGGAGGGGAAACUUUGAUGCUUGAGGGGCUUUUAUAGGCCUACUCAUGUACUUGGAGUUUGUUAGAGCUUUUGACAGAGAUGUACUCUGAAUCCCUGGCUCCUUUCUAACAGAUUUUGGUUGUUUAUGGGGUGUGUACUCGUGAAUUAAUUGUGGCUGCUCCCUCCCUACUCACUCGGCACUCCACUGCAGCUUCUCACUCCCUCCCCUUUUUCCACAACCAUACUGACUUGGGUACGGUUUUGUAGGUGGAACUGGAGCAGACGUGGUUGGCUGGAGUGUGGGGCGCUGCUACAGCCUGUUCUUCUUCAUCAGCGGCAGCCUUGGCCGCAGAGUGCAGUCCGCUGCAGGGUUGCUUUGCCAUCUAUCUUUCCUACUUUAGCACUAACAUAGCCUUCAUUUAAAAGGCACGAGCACUAACUAGCUGAGAACGUGCCCUCUCCCGACGUGGUGUGUGGUCCUUGGCCCGACGGCUGACGAGAUACUACUUGGGGCGCGGUUUAACUUCGACAAAAAGGGCACAUGCCUGUUUCUUUUCAAAACCUUGUAUAAAAUUCCUUUCUUGUAUGAACUUGAUACCUUCACCUUGGAAUGAAAAAAAGGGUGUGCGUAUUCUUCUUA